GCUAGCAGAUGAAAAUUCCUAGUCAUUGGCCAAGCAGCAUUUGUACCUACUGAGUGAAGGAAAUGAAGCUUCCGGAAACCUGACAUCCAUGUGUGAUCCAAGAGGACAUCGAAUGUGGAAGAGGAAGACAUCAAUAGUUUCACCCAGCACUGGACUCGGCAGGCAACAGUAUUGACUUGCAUGACAAGAUGGGCUUCCUGGUGCAAUAGUAACAUGAAUGUUGUGGUGGUAACCAACCACUUUCUGACUGGAUAUAAGGCCUGUUCUACAAGAGGUUUCCUGCUCAGGUGUAGCACAAAUUCUAGUUGGUCUUAACAAUAAAAACUUAAAGACAGAUUUUGGGGCUGAAGCUGAAGAUCAGAGAAGCAAAGCAGCCACCCA